rnacentral:ncRNA from 1 species
CAUGAUUUUCGUCUGGCCUGGUGAAAAGACAUGAGAGGUGUAGAAUAAGUGAGUGGGCAGGGUCCUCCAGGUUAUGGAGGUGAGCAGGUGAAAUACCAUGAGUUAGAGUGUUUUUCACAGACUUCGUGAGGCAGAGCCUUGGGGGCAAGCCCUAAGAAGCUCUUGCUUUUGGUGUGAAAUGACUUCAGUGACCAUGCUAGAUGUAGAGUUUAAAAAGGGCAAGACAUCUGUCAAAUAGUAAUGCACUUGUCUUAAGGCAAACUCAGGGAAAAUAGAAAUCUUCCGUAGAACAGAAGGGCAAAAUUUUACUUCAUCUAGAUUUUCAGUGUGAAUACAAACCAUGAGAGCAAGGUGGAAAAAGAAUUCCAGCAAUG